rnacentral:rRNA from 1 species
UGGCAGCAGUGGGGAAUUUUGGACAAUGGGCGCAAGCCUGAUCCAGCAAUGCCGCGUGAGUGAAGAAGGCCUUCGGGUUGUAAAGCUCUUUUGUCAGGGAAGAAACGGCUGAGGUUAAUACCUUCGGCUAAUGACGGUACCUGAAGAAUAAGCACCGGCUAACUACGUGCCAGCAGCCGCGGUAAUAA